rnacentral:rRNA from 1 species
GGUUUGAUCAUGGCUCAGAUUGAACGCUGGCGGGAUGCUGCCCACAUGCAAGUCGAACGGCAACACGGACUUCGGUCUGGUGGCAGUGGCGAACGGGUGAGUAAUGUAUCGGAACGUGCCUAGUAGCGGGGGAUAACUACGCGAAAGCGUAGCCUGGCCACAUACGCCCUUCGGGGAAAGCGGGGGACCUUCGGACUCGCACUAAUGGAAGCGGCCGAUAUCGGAUUAGCUAGUUGGUGGGAGUAACGGCUCCGCAGGCGACGAUCCGUAGCUGGUUUGAGAGGACGACCAACCACACUGGGACUGAGACGCGGCCAGACUCCUGCAAGGAGGAGGCAGCAGUGGGAUUUGGACAAUGGGGAAACCUGAUCCAGCCAUCCCGCGUGCGAUGAAGGCCUUCGGGUGUAAAGCACUUUUGGCAGGAAAACGGCACGGGAUAAUACCCCGUGCAACUGACAGUACACCUGCAGAAUAAGCACCGGCUAACUACGUGCCAGCAGCCGCGGUAAUACAUGGGUGCAAGCGUUAAUCGGAAUUACUGGGCGUAAAGCGUGCGCAGGCGGUUCGGAAGAAGAUGUGAAAUCCCAGAGCUUAACUUUGGAACUGCAUUUUUAACCUACCGAGCUAGAGUGUGUCAGAGGGAGGUGGAAUUCCGCGUGUAGCAGUGAAAUGCGUAGAUAUGCGGAGGAACACCGAUGGCGAAGGCAGCCUCUGGGAUAACACUGACGCUCGCGCACGAAAGCGUGGGGGCAAACAGGAUUAGAUACCUGAUGGAUCGCGCCCUAAACGAUGUCAACUAGCUGUUGGGGCCUUCGGGCCUUGGUAGCGCAAUAACGCGUGGGUGACCGCCUGGGGAGUACGGUCGCAAGAUUAAAACUCAAAGGAAUUGACGGGGACCCGCACAAGCGGUGGAUGAUGUGGAUUAAUUCGAUGCAACGCGAAAAACCUUACCUACCCCUUGACAUGUCUGGAAUCCCGAAGAGAUUUGGGAGUGCUCGCAAGAGAACCGGAACACAGGUGCUGCAUGGCUGUCGUCAGCUCGUGUCGUGAGAUGUUGGGUUAGUCCCGCAACGAGCGCAACCCUUGUCAUUAGUUGCUACGAAAGGGCACUCGUGGAACUGCCGGUGACAAACCGGGGGAAGACGGGGAUGACGUCAAGUCCUCAUGGUGCCAUGGGUAGGGCUUCACACGUCAUACAAUGGUCGGGACAGAGGGUCGCCAGCCCGCGAGGGAGCCAAUCCCGAAACCCGAUCGUAGUCCGGAUCGCAGUCUGCAACUCGACUGCGUGAAGUCGGAAUCGCUAGUAAUCGCGGAUCAGCAUGUCGCGGUGAAUACGUUCGGGUCUUGUACACACCGCCCGUCACACCAUGGGAGUGGGUUUUACCAAGUAGUUAGCCUAACCGUAAGGAGGACGAUUACCACGGUAGGAUUCAUGACUGGGGUGAAGUCGUAACAAGGUAG